CUUGGAAGCCGCAGGAACCAAUCUUGUGGACAAACGAGAAAAUACUUUUGUCUACAGAAGGCAGCAAUCCUACAUAAUUAUGGAGGUCUCUGUCUGACUUAAGACAGCUAACUAAGUCUGAUAGUUCCCCUCCAUAAACC
rnacentral:snoRNA from 1 species